UUGCUUUGGCAGCACAUAUACUAAAAUUGGAAUGAUACAGAGAGGAUUAGCAUGGCCCCUGUGCAAGGAUGACACGCAAAGUCAUGAAGUGUUCCAUAUUUUA
rnacentral:snRNA from 1 species